rnacentral:rRNA from 1 species
UACGUAGGAGGCGAGCGUUGUCCGGAUUUAUUGGGUUUAAAGGGUGCGUAGGCGGUCUAUUAAGUCAGUGGUGAAAGCCCCAAGCUCAACUUGGGAACUGCCAUUGAUACUGAUGGACUUGAGUACAUUUGAGGUGGGCGGAAUGUGUCAUGUAGCGGUGAAAUGCUUAGAUAUGACACAGAACACCGAUUGCGAAGGCAGCUCACUAAACUGUAACUGACGCUGAGGCACGAAAGCGUGGGGAGCAAACAGG